rnacentral:rRNA from 1 species
AUUGAACGCUGGCGGCAUGCCUUACACAUGCAAGUCGAACGGUAACGGGCCUUCGGGUGCCGUCGAGUGGCGAACGGGGGCGUAAUACAAAGGAACGUGCCAGAUCGUGGGGGAAAACGGGGCGCAAGCUGUGCUAAUACCGCAUACGAUAUAAGGAGGAAAGCAGGGGACCGCAAGGCCUUGCGCGGGCGGAGCGGCCGCUGGCAGAUUAGGUAGUUGGUGGGAUAAAAGCUUACCAAGCCGACGAUCUGUAGCUGGGCUGAGAGGAUGAUCAGCCACACUGGGACUGAGACACGGCCCAGACUCCUACGGGAGGCAGCAGUGGGGAAUUUUGGACAAUGGGCGCAAGCCUGAUCCAGCCACGCCGCGUGCAGGAUGAAGGCCUUCGGGUUGUAAACUGCUUUUGUACGGAACGAAAAGCCGUCUUUUAAUACAGGAGGGUCAUGACGGUACCGUAAGAAUAAGCACCGGCUAACUACGUG